rnacentral:rRNA from 1 species
UCGGGAAUUUUGGGCAAUGGGCGCAAGCCUGAUCCAGCCAUGCCGCGUGAGUGACGAAGGUCUUCGGAUUGUAAAACUCUUUUGGCGGGGACGAUAAUGACGGUACCCGCAGAAUAAGCCCCGGCUAACUUCGUGCCAGCAGCCGCGGUAAUACGAAGGGGGCUAGCGUUGUUCGGAAUCACUGGGCGUAAAGCGCACGUAGGCGGAUGUGCCAGUCAGGGGUGAAAUCCCGGAGCUCAACUCCGGAACUGCCUCUGAUACUGCACGUCUUGAGUUCGAGAGAGGUGGGUGGAAUUCCUAGUGUAGAGGUGAAAUUCGUAGAUAUUAGGAAGAACACCGGUGGCGAAGGCGGCCCACUGGCUCGAUACUGACGCUGAGGUGCGAAAGCGUGGGGAGCAAACGGGAUUAGAUACCCAUGUAGUCCCUGAGCGGGCUGGCAAGGCG